rnacentral:rRNA from 1 species
UUAAGCGACUAAGCGUACACGGUGGAUGCCCUGGCAGUCAGAGGCGAUGAAGGACGUGCUAAUCUGCGAUAAGCGUCGGUGAGGUGAUAUGAACCGUUAUAACCGGCGAUUUCCGAAUGGGGAAACCCAGUGUGUUUCGACACACUAUCAUUAACUGAAUCCAUAGGUUAAUGAGGCGAACCGGGGGAACUGAAACAUCUAAGUACCCCGAGGAAAAGAAAUCAACCGAGAUUCCCCCAGUAGCGGCGAGCGAACGGGGAGGAGCCCAGAGCCUGAAUCAGUGUGUGUGUUAGUGGAAGCGUCUGGAAAGGCGCGCGAUACAGGGUGACAGCCCCGUACACAAAAAUGCACAUAUUGUGAGCUCGAUGAGUAGGGCGGGACACGUGGUAUCCUGUCUGAAUAUGGGGGGACCAUCCUCCAAGGCUAAAUACUCCUGACUGACCGAUAGUGAACCAGUACCGUGAGGGAAAGGCGAAAAGAACCCCGGCGAGGGGAGUGAAAAAGAACCUGAAACCGUGUACGUACAAGCAGUGGGAGCCUCUUUAUGGGGUGACUGCGUACCUUUUGUAUAAUGGGUCAGCGACUUAUAUUCUGUAGCAAGGUUAACCGAAUAGGGGAGCCGAAGGGAAACCGAGUCUUAACUGGGCGUUAAGUUGCAGGGUAUAGACCCGAAACCCGGUGAUCUAGCCAUGGGCAGGUUGAAGGUUGGGUAACACUAACUGGAGGACCGAACCGACUAAUGUUGAAAAAUUAGCGGAUGACUUGUGGCUGGGGGUGAAAGGCCAAUCAAACCGGGAGAUAGCUGGUUCUCCCCGAAAGCUAUUUAGGUAGCGCCUCGUGAAUUCAUCUCCGGGGGUAGAGCACUGUUUCGGCAAGGGGGUCAUCCCGACUUACCAACCCGAUGCAAACUGCGAAUACCGGAGAAUGUUAUCACGGGAGACACACGGCGGGUGCUAACGUCCGUCGUGAAGAGGGAAACAACCCAGACCGCCAGCUAAGGUCCCAAAGUCAUGGUUAAGUGGGAAACGAUGUGGGAAGGCCCAGACAGCCAGGAUGUUGGCUUAGAAGCAGCCAUCAUUUAAAGAAAGCGUAAUAGCUCACUGGUCGAGUCGGCCUGCGCGGAAGAUGUAACGGGGCUAAACCAUGCACCGAAGCUGCGGCAGCGACACUAUGUGUUGUUGGGUAGGGGAGCGUUCUGUAAGCCUGUGAAGGUGGCCUGUGAGGGUUGCUGGAGGUAUCAGAAGUGCGAAUGCUGACAUAAGUAACGAUAAAGCGGGUGAAAAGCCCGCUCGCCGGAAGACCAAGGGUUCCUGUCCAACGUUAAUCGGGGCAGGGUGAGUCGACCCCUAAGGCGAGGCCGAAAGGCGUAGUCGAUGGGAAACAGGUUAAUAUUCCUGUACUUGGUGUUACUGCGAAGGGGGGACGGAGAAGGCUAUGUUGGCCGGGCGACGGUUGUCCCGGUUUAAGCGUGUAGGCUGGUUUUCCAGGCAAAUCCGGAAAACCAAGGCUGAGGCGUGAUGACGAGGCACUACGGUGCUGAAGCGACAAAUGCCCUGCUUCCAGGAAAAGCCUCUAAGCAUCAGGUAACAUCAAAUCGUACCCCAAACCGACACAGGUGGUCAGGUAGAGAAUACCAAGGCGCUUGAGAGAACUCGGGUGAAGGAACUAGGCAAAAUGGUGCCGUAACUUCGGGAGAAGGCACGCUGAUAUGUAGGUGAAGCGACUUGCUCGUGGAGCUGAAAUCAGUCGAAGAUACCAGCUGGCUGCAACUGUUUAUUAAAAACACAGCACUGUGCAAACACGAAAGUGGACGUAUACGGUGUGACGCCUGCCCGGUGCCGGAAGGUUAAUUGAUGGGGUUAGCGGUAACGCGAAGCUCUUGAUCGAAGCCCCGGUAAACGGCGGCCGUAACUAUAACGGUCCUAAGGUAGCGAAAUUCCUUGUCGGGUAAGUUCCGACCUGCACGAAUGGCGUAAUGAUGGCCAGGCUGUCUCCACCCGAGACUCAGUGAAAUUGAACUCGCUGUGAAGAUGCAGUGUACCCGCGGCAAGACGGAAAGACCCCGUGAACCUUUACUAUAGCUUGACACUGAACAUUGAGCCUUGAUGUGUAGGAUAGGUGGGAGGCUUUGAAGUGUGGACGCCAGUCUGCAUGGAGCCGACCUUGAAAUACCACCCUUUAAUGUUUGAUGUUCUAACGUUGGCCCGUAAUCCGGGUUGCGGACAGUGUCUGGUGGGUAGUUUGACUGGGGCGGUCUCCUCCUAAAGAGUAACGGAGGAGCACGAAGGUUGGCUAAUCCUGGUCGGACAUCAGGAGGUUAGUGCAAUGGCAUAAGCCAGCUUGACUGCGAGCGUGACGGCGCGAGCAGGUGCGAAAGCAGGUCAUAGUGAUCCGGUGGUUCUGAAUGGAAGGGCCAUCGCUCAACGGAUAAAAGGUACUCCGGGGAUAACAGGCUGAUACCGCCCAAGAGUUCAUAUCGACGGCGGUGUUUGGCACCUCGAUGUCGGCUCAUCACAUCCUGGGGCUGAAGUAGGUCCCAAGGGUAUGG